rnacentral:rRNA from 1 species
GUAAAUCUCGUGCCAGCCACCGCGGUUAUACGAAAGACCCUAGUUUAUAAACACGGCGUAAAGGGUGGUUAGGGGUUAAACAAAAUAAAGCCAAAGACUCCCUAAGCCGUCAUACGCUCAUGGAAGCACGAAGUCCAAACACGAAAGUAGCUUUACCAAAUACGCCCGACUCCACGAAAGCUGGGGGACAAACUAGGAUUAGAUACCCCAC